rnacentral:lncRNA from 1 species
UCACAACCGCACUUUCGUUCACUCAUGAAACACUUCUUAGAUGUCCUUCCUCCGCAACUCAUUUCGGACGGGGAUUAAUAGUUCCCCCAGUAUGGACUGGAGUACGAAGCCCACUCAAAAAUGCGAACAAAAUAGUCCAUUAUAUUUUGUGAGUGUCGCCAGGUGGCUUAGUCCCAAUGACUCCCCUACGAAUAUGAGACAAUAAUAGAGCAAAUCUGUCAAACGGUACUCCACCAAGAGCAGGUACUAUUUUAUCACAUAUGUGGAUUGAGUGGUUGAUUUACGACAUUUUGUAUAGAAGUUACGAAAAAAUGCAAACAGUUAUAACUCAUUAUGAUUCGAGAAUCUAUCAAUGAUCAUAGAACUGCUCAUGUACUCUGAGAAGAAAUUCGAUAAACCAUCCAACAUAAAAGUUAUUCAUUACAUCAAAUCUCCAACAUUAUACAGUAGAGUAAAUAAUUUAUCGCCUUGCAUCGUUCAAGUUUUGCACACAAACAUAAAUAGAAGCUUCCACAUUCAUAAGCAUAGAAUAAGAUAAGAAAAACUAUUGCAAUUUCUGUCUCAUUUUUAGCCUGAAUGCCCUGCAUUUUGCCCUAACGUAUACCUACAUCGAGGGCAAACCAAUGAGACAAUAAAUCGUGCUUCUCUAUACUUGCAUUCCGGACAAUAAACUGAGCUCGGGAUUGUUAUCGUGGAUGGAUCCUGCUUCUUCAGCGGCUCGGGUGGCUCGAGCGGCUCAGGUUGCGGCCUCUUGGGGGCUAGGACCAGGGUCAUUGUUUUCCAGAUUUUCUCCUCUCGCCUCCGAAUGUAGUAGAAAAAGAAACUGCAGAGCAUGACGAUGACAAUGACUACACCAAUAAUAACCCACAUCGGAGUUUUAUUGUCAUCG